UCCUAUGAUGACAUAAAAUCUUUGAGACCUGAUUAUUUUGAUGACACUCACAAGCAUGACCUCUGAGGAU